ACUCCUACAAAGACAGCAUCAUGCCCACCUUCACCAUCUCCAGUCCCUCAGAUGUCUCCCUCUCCUACAAAGACAGCAUCACGCCCACCUUCACCAUCUCCAGUUCCUCAGAUCUCUCCCUCUCCUACAAAGACAGCAUCAUGCCCACCGUCACCAUCUCCAGUACUUCAGUUCUCUCCCUCUCCUCCAAAAACAACAUCAAGCACACCUUGCCCUUCACCAGCCUCUUCGUCAGCUGUUACAUGCAUCUCCAAAUUUGAGAAAAGUGUUGACAAAGCUUGGUCUGGAAGAGUGUGGGACAAAAAAAGUCAACUUCUUGGCAAAAUUGGCCCUUAUAAAUUUUUCAACUGGGACAUCGGACGUCUUGCCCCUAGCAGACAACUAGAGAGUGAGGUUAUAAAUGCAUAUAUCUUUGCAAUGGUCAGAAAACACAAUCAAAUCAGCGAGGACAAAGCUUUUAUGAUUGAUUCUUUUGCUAUGGCCAAGGUGUGGCAGGGGUCAUACAACAUUCUCAGAAAGUGGAACCCCAAAGAGUACCAAAUGGUACUUGGAGUGAUCGGUGAGCACGGACACUGGACUCUUGCUGCGAUGUAUCCAUCACAAAAAAAAACUAUUUUUCUGAAUUCACUUGGAGAAUCAAAGGAAAAGGUCACCCGAUGCCUUGACACAACAAGGUCAGAAAUAAUAUAUCAGAUUCUGUCACUAUCAAAG